AAUCAACGCUGGCGGCGUGCCUCAGACAUGCAAGUCGAACGCUGCUGUUCGCCUUCGGGUGGACAGCGGAGUGGCGCACGGGUGAGUAACACGUAGGUAAUCUACCUUUGGGUGGGGAAUAACAGCCGGAAACGGCUGCUAAUACCGCAUAAUGCAGCGGCAUCACAUGAUGACAGUUGUUAAAGCGGGGGAUCGUAAGACCUCGCGCCUGAAGAGGAGCCUGCGGCAGAUUAGGUAGUUGGUGAGGUAAUGGCUCACCAAGCCUGCGAUCUGUAACCGGCCUGAGAGGGCGGUCGGUCACACUGACACUGACAUACGGGUCAGACUCCUACGGGAGGCAGCAGUCGGGAA
rnacentral:rRNA from 1 species